CCUACGGGGGGCAGCAGUAGGGAAUUUUCGGCAAUGGGGGGAACCCUGACCGAGCAACGCCGCGUGAACGAAGAAGUUAUUCGUAAUGUAAAGUUCUUUUAACAGGGAAGAAAGAGAACUUUGACGGUACCUGAAGAAUAAGCUCCGGCUAACUACGGGCCAGCAGCCGCGGUAAUACGUAGGGAGCGAGCGUUAUCCGGAUUUAUGGGGCGAAAAGGGUGCGUAGAUGGCAUAGUAAGUCUUUUGUAAAAAUGCUGGGCUCAACCCAGUAGGGCAAAAGAUACGGCAAAGUUAGAGUAUGACAGAGGCAAGUGGAACGACAUGUGUAGCGGUAAAAUGCGUAAAUAUAUGUAAGAACACCAGUGGCGAAGGCGGCUUGCUGGGUCGAUACUGACAUUGAGGCACGAAAGCGUGGGGAGCAAACAGGAUUAGAUACCCGGGUAGUC
rnacentral:rRNA from 1 species